rnacentral:rRNA from 1 species
AUGGCAGAGCUUAAAGCAGAGUGUGAGGAUGCCUGGAAGUGGCUUAAAUUUUUUCCAAAGGAGACUUGGUGUAGGUCUGCAAUGGAUUACAAUUGCAAAACUGAUCUUGUUGUCAACAACCUUAGUGAGCUUUUCAACAAAAUGAUCCUUGAUGUUAGGGCCAAACCAAUUAGGAGAAUGUUUGAAGGAAUUAGGACUAAGCAGAUGAUCAAAAGGCAGAAUACUAGGGAAAAAACAGAGAACAGCAGGUGGAUGAUCACACCCGACUAUUCAGAGAAACUAGAGGAGAAUAAGAAGUAUGCCAAAUUUUGUGAGGCACAUAAGGCUGGUCCUGACAUUUGGCAAGUGUCUAGUAAGGAAAAUCAGUACUAUGUGAACCUAGCUACUAACUCAUGUGACUGUAGGAGGUGGGACAUGACUGGUGUGACAUGCAGUCAUGCAAUAGCAGCAAUGAGCAAGAUUCACAUGCACCUAGAGGACUAUGUGCAUGAAUUUUUCAAAAAAACACUAUAUAUUGAAGCAUACAAAGACAUAGUGUACCAUGUCCCUGGUCCUGAAUUCUGGCCUAACACCCAUACUCAGGAUAUUGAACCCCCAGUGUUCAAAGAAAAACCAAGCAAGAAACAGACAACUAGGAGAAAGGGCCAGUUUGAGGUGCCUGCACCAAAGGACACAAGCAGAAUGGGAAAAAUUACAUGCAGCAAUUAUGGUCUACAAGGCCACAGAUAUACAAACUAUGGGAAAGAUCUAAAACCUAGUCUUGAGAUGAGAAAGAACUUACACCAGCCUUUAAUACGUGUCCACCCACCGCUCACUCACCUACUCGCCGUCCGCACCGCCCACUCCACUUCCCCCUCUCUCCUGUUGAAACCACCACCGACAGCCACCCCCACCGCCGUCGCCAUGGACUGGCAGCUGGCCAUCGAAGAGCUCGCCGACAACAACUAG